GUCGGGCGGUAACAGGGAGAAGCUUGCUUCUCUGCUGACGAGCGGCGGACGGGUGAGUAAUGUAUGGGGAUCUGCCUGAUGGCGGGGGAUAACUACUGGAAACGGUAGCUAAUACCGCAUAAUGUCUACGGACCAAAGCGGGGGACCCCCGGGCCUCGCGCCAUCAGAUGAACCCAUAUGGGAUUAGCUUGUAGGUAAGGUAACGGCUUACCUAGGCGACGAUCCCUAGCUGGUCUGAGAGGAUGAUCAGCCACACUGGGACUGAGACACGGCCCAGACUCCUACGGGAGGCAGCAGUGGGGAAUAUUGCACAAUGG
rnacentral:rRNA from 1 species